AAAGUUGUCGUCUUCGGCUGCCAGCAGCGCGCUGAUGAAGUCUUGGGGAAUGUCUUCGAAGGCGAUGGGCGAGCGGCGCAUUUCACCGAAUUCGGCAAUCAGCUUGGCGUCGCUGCUGUAAACGCGCAGAGGAAUCUGCAGCUGAAUACUGCGCAAUGAUUCGACGGAUGGAAGGCUGGGGCUAAGAUAGAGGAAGGCCCCGCUGAAACUGAGUACCAGACCACAAAAAGCGGCGAGGCUAGACCAGCAAAAAAAACGCAAAAGACGCAUCAAGAUUUUUGGAUUUCCAGAUAA
rnacentral:antisense_RNA from 1 species